rnacentral:rRNA from 1 species
AUGAAGAUCUUCUUGGUCUUUGCCCUCCUCGUUGUAUCAACGAUCAUCACCACCGCGACCGCGCAGCUCGACCCUAGCAUCCAUGUACAAGAAAGGCCACAACAAUCGUUUCCGCAGCAGCAACCACUUACCCAACAACAACCAUUCCCGCUGCAAGAGCCACAACAACCACUAUUCCAGCAACAACAACCGUAUCCACAACAGUCACUUCGCCAACAACAACUUCCCCAGCAACAUUUAUUUCCGCAGCAACCGCCGCAACAACAAUUUCCAUAGUAGAUGCCACUUCCGCAUCAACAACAAAUAUUCCCGCAACAACAACAACCCCCACAACAACAACCAUUUUACCAAUAUCAACAACCAUUAACACAACAACCAUACACGCGAGAGCAACCAUUGCCACAACAACAACCUUCUGUGGAGGAAAACCAACAAUUGAACUUGUGCAAGGAGUUCCUGCUGCAGCAGUGCAACCCGGAGGAGAAAGUGUCAUUACUGCAGUCAAUGAUCCCGUUCCUCCGACCAAAGACCUCGCAACAGAACAACUGCCAGUUGAAGCGGCAACAAUGUUGUCGACAACUUGCACAUAUCAGCGAGCCGUCCCGAUGUCCGGCCAUCCACAACAUUGUGCACGCCAUCAUCAUGCAACAACAACAACAACAUGUGGAUAGAGGUUUCGUCCAGCCUCAACCACAACAGUUGGGCCAGGGAAUGCCCAUGCAGCCUCAACAUCAAUUGGGCCAGGGCUUAAGCCUACCUCAACAACUAGCCCAGUUCAAGUUGGUUAGGUUACUUGUGAUUCAGACCUUGCCUAUGUUAUGCAAUGUGCAUGUCCCAUCUGAUUGCUACACCAUUAGUGCACCAUUUGGUGGCAUCACUGCCUACAACGGUGGACAAUGA